rnacentral:lncRNA from 1 species
AAAUAAAUAAGUAAAUAAAUAAGUAAACAAAUAAAUUAAUAAAUUAAUUAAUAAAUAAUUUGAGCAAACACGUUUAUAUAAAAAAGAACAUUCAUUUGUUCAAAUUUGUUAUAAAAAAAAAAAAAAAAAAAUGAUAUUAGAAAUCGUGCCAUUAUAUAGCUAUAAUUUUUACUGUACUUUGUUAAUUAUUAAAGAAUUAAAUUAUACAAACAAAGAACAUGAACUAAAAAAUAUUUUACCACAUAUAAAUAACAACAUAGAGACAGAAAAUAAUGUUAUGACACAUUGUGAAAAGGAUUAUAAUAACGAUGUUGUUAAUCAUAUAAAAUCAUAUAACUAUGAUUACUUAAAUAAUAAAAAAGAUUUUUAUCCAGAUAAAAGUAAUGAAAAUAUUUAUAUUCUUAUAAACUGCGGAUGGGAUGAAAAUUUUUGUCAAGAGGAUAUCCAAAACGUGUUAAGGGUAUGCGAAUAUAUAGACAUUUUAAUAAUCACAAAUUAUAAUUUAAAGUACGUUGGUGCUUUGCCUUUAGUUUAUACAAAUUUGCAAAAAGCGAAUAAAAAAGUAACAAUAAUAUGUCAUGAAUAUGUAAAAUAUUAUAGUAAAUAUAUUUUAUUAAGUUAUUAUAAAUGUUUAAAUAAUUGUGAAUUUUUUAAAAACUUUGUUGCAAAUGAAUAUAAUAAAUUAAUAAAAGAUUUAUAUAACGACAUAACAAUAUUAGAAUAUAGAGAGCAUUAUAUAUUCAAAAAAAUAAUUAAUAAAAAAAAUGAUAUUACAUGUAUACUUCCAUUAUAUUUAAUAAACAACGGAGAUGAUAUAGGUUCCUCAGGGAUUAUAUUCAAAUUGUUCAAUCACAAAAUUCUUUAUUCAAUUAAUUUUAAUGUUUCUGAUUAUUCAUUUAUUGAAAAAUCACAUGUAUUUAAACAAACAGAUAUUUUUACUUUUAUUAGUAACUUUUAUUAUACAAAUAAAAAUUACACAAAAUUUGCUGAUUUAAAAGAAAUUUUAAAAAUUAUUAAUAAAACUAUUAAUAAAAUGGGUUCCGUCAUUUUGCCUGUAGACAUUGACAGUAAUACAAAAAAAAAAAAUAAAUAAAUAAAAAAAAAUAAAAUAAAACAAUUCUUAGCUCGAGAACA